ACUCCCAAACCCCUGUGAACAUACCUAUACGUUGCCUCGGCGGAUCAGCCCGCGCCCCGUAAAACGGGACGGCCCGCCCGAGGACCCCUAAACUCUGUUUUUAGUGGAACUUCUGAGUAAAACAAACAAAUAAAUCAAAACUUUCAACAACGGAUCUCUUGGUUCUGGCAUCGAUGAAGAACGCAGCAAAAUGCGAUAAGUAAUGUGAAUUGCAGAAUUCAGUGAAUCAUCGAAUCUUUGAACGCACAUUGCGCCCGCCAGUAUUCUGGCGGGCAUGCCUGUUCGAGCGUCAUUUCAACCCUCAAGCUCAGCUUGGUGUUGGGACUCGCGGUAACCCGCGUUCCCCAAAUCGAUUGGCGGUCACGUCGAGCUUCCAUAGCGUAGUAAUCAUACACCUCGUUACUGGUAAUCGUCGCGGCCACGCCGUUAAACCCCAACUUCUGAAUGUUGACCUCGGAUCAGGUAGGAAUACCCGCUGAACUUAAGCAUAUCAAUAAGCGGAGGAAAAGAAACCAACAGGGAUUGCCCUAGUAACGGCGAGUGAAGCGGCAACAGCUCAAAUUUGAAAUCUGGCUCUCGGGCCCGAGUUGUAAUUUGUAGAGGAUGCUUUUGAUGCGGUGCCUUCCGAGUUCCCUGGAACGGGACGCCAUAGAGGGUGAGAGCCCCGUCUGGUUGGAUGCCAAAUCUCUGUAAAGCUCCUUCGACGAGUCGAGUAGUUUGGGAAUGCUGCUCUAAAUGGGAGGUAUAUGUCUUCUAAAGCUAAAUACCGGCCAGAGACCGAUAGCGCACAAGUAGAGUGAUCGAAAGAUGAAAAGCACUUUGAAAAGAGAGUUAAAAAGUACGUGAAAUUGUUGAAAGGGAAGCGUUUAUGACCAGACUUGGGCUUGGUUAAUCAUCUGGGGUUCUCCCCAGUGCACUUUUCCAGUCCAGGCCAGCAUCAGUUUUCGCCGGGGGAUAAAGGCUUCGGGAAUGUGGCUCUCUCCGGGGAGUGUUAUAGCCCGUUGCGUAAUACCCUGGCGGGGACUGA
rnacentral:rRNA from 1 species